UGGCUCAGAUUGAACGCUGGCGGCAGGCCUAACACAUGCAAGUCGAGCGGUAGCAGUCCUUCGGGAGCUGACGAGCGGCGGACGGGUGAGUAACGCGUAGGAAUCUACCCAGUAGAGGGGGAUAGCCCGGGGAAACUCGGAUUAAUACCGCAUAAUCUCUAUGGAGCAAAGAGGGCUUAGGCUCUUGCUACUGGAUGAGCCUGCGUGGGAUUAGCUAGUUGGUGAGGUAAGGGCUCACCAAGGCGACGAUCUCUAGCUGGUCUGAGAGGAUGAUCAGUCACACUGGAACUGAGACACGGUCCAGACUCCUACGGGAGGCAGCAGUGGGGAAUAUUGCACAAUGGGCGAAAGCCUGAUGCAGCCAUGCCGCGUGUGUGAAGAAGGCCUUAGGGUUGUAAAGCACUUUCAGUGGGGAGGAAGGCGUAACGGUUAAUACCCGUUAUGAUUGACGUUACCUACAGAAGAAGCACCGGCUAACUCCGUG
rnacentral:rRNA from 1 species